rnacentral:rRNA from 1 species
UACGGGGGGGGCAAGCGUUGUUCGGAAUUACUGGGCGUAAAGGGCGCGUAGGCGGCCUUCUAAGUCAGACGUGAAAUCCCUCGGCUCAACCGAGGAACUGCGUCUGAUACUGGAAGGCUUGAAUCCGGGAGAGGGAUGUGGAAUUCCAGGUGUAGCGGUGAAAUGCGUAGAUAUCGGAAGGAACAUCAGUGGCGAAAGCGACUUCCUGGACCAGUACCGACGUUCAGGCACGAAAGCGUGGGGAGCAAACAGG